UUUUUGGUUAGAAAAGGGGCGAGGAAGGGUUGUCAGACCCGGGAAGGGGCCCGAGGUUCCCGAUCUGCUGUGUGAGUCGUUGCAUGGUGGGGUUAUAGGAGACUCUGAGCCUGUUUUUCUAAGUUUCCACCCUUUGUUAGAAGCGGUUCAAUCCUGUUUGGGACCAGUUCUGGGGGGUGGCGAGGAGGGGCGCUCCUCCAGCUCCGCAGAUUGGCUGCACGCGUCAGGUGGUGGCGAUGACUUAAUUCCUAGACCGAGAAGAAUAUAGUGUUAGAGCCGGUUAUGUAAUUCUGAACUUCUCCUUUUUUAAUGCGAUGUUUAAGCUCUGGUGCGGGCUGUUCUCCAAAAGGAGAGCACAUUUUUUAACCUUCGUUUCCAAUCUUCAAUGAGGCACAUGCCUGAGGACGAGCUCGGGGAGCCAAAGCAAGUGUAGAGAGAAGGGAUGCUUUCGGCCACAGCGUUGUUAAUGCACGGAUGGUGUUUUUUAAAUAUUAAGAUGAAAUCAGUUCUUUCCUUAGGGUUUCAUUGCACACAGGCCAUUUGCAUCUUGACAUAUUUCUAGUUCAUCUCCCCAUGCAGUAACCCUGAUAAAGAAGCGCCAAUGUCUCAUGACAGUCGUCCUGUUUAUUGAAAAGCAUAGACAUGAGUUUGUCUGAACCUUUCUUGAUAUUAUGCAGCUUUUUAUAAAAUGGUGGGAAGAAACAAAGGUAGAGAUGAGACUGUAAGAUUAACGACUUAUGGGGACAAACACAAUUUUGUUAGCUGCUCCAUGAUUUCAUGGUAAAAUAAACUAUAGGCUUUUUUAACACCAAAGAAAUACCCCUGAGCCUCUGCAAAGUGCAGGCGAGCUCUGAGCCUGGAAUACUUUCAAUGACUUAAAGCCGGGGCCUCUCACACAAGCCUGGUGACGGAGGCCCCGCCCCCGGCGGGCCGCGAUAGGCGGAGCCGGGUUUGUUAGCCUGUUGCUAAGGCGAUGCCGGCCUCUGAUUGGAUUGGGCGCCGGCGGUGGGGAGAGUGGGGCGCGCCCGCGGGGGCGGGGCUUGGAACCGGCGUGCGCCGGUAAAGGGCUCUCCGGGGCGGCCCCCCGCCCCUGCUCGCGCCCCUCCCCGGGCUUUGGGAGGGUGCCCGCGUCUCCCGUCACCUUCUGUCUCACCACCGUGGCCUGUUUGGGGGCCCGGAAUACAUGACUUGGGGUGUCAGGAGAGUAGAUGCGAAAAGCUCCUGCUUAGCCUUUCCCAGUGCCGAGUGGCCCUGGGCGCAACUUGCGCUGCCAGUGCUCUUCGGAGGGGAGUUGGGUGGACAGGGUUCGCAGGAGCCCAUCUUCCUGUUUUUGGAGAGGAAGGCGUCCGAUACCUUCAGCGGACGCUCGUUUUCCUCUGAGCGAAUGCAAAGCCUGUCUACCGACAGGUAUAGACCGGCUCCCUUG